rnacentral:rRNA from 1 species
UUUGGUUCGCAUUUGCGGUGUAAUAGUAAUCAACUUGUUCGCCCGGGUGCUUGCCUAAAGAGUCUGCUUCUAAUCGCCUCCCAGUUGGGGCAGUAAUAUAUAUGACCUUUUGACCUCAAAUCAGGUAGGACUACCCGCUGAACUUAAGCAUAUCAAUAAGCGGAGGA